GAGAUGUGUGAUGACGCAUAUCAAUAAGCGGAGGAAAAGAAAACUAACAAGGAUUCCCUUAGUAACGGCGAGUGAAGCGGGAAGAGCUCAAAUUUGAGAUCUUCAAGGUUUCUACCUUGACGAAUUGUAGUUUUAUAGAAGUGUUUUUUCUGUUAGUAGAGUGGCAAAAAGUUUCUUUGGAAUAGGACAUCAUAGAGGGUGAGAAUCCCGUAUUUGGUCAUUCUUUCUAGCUUUGUGAUACACUUUUCAACGAGUCGGAUUGUUUUGGGAAUGCAGUCCAAAAUGGGUGGUAAAUUUUCAUCUAAAGCUAAAUAUUGGCGAGAGACCGAUAGCGAAACAAGUACCGUGAGUGAAAGAUGAAAAGAACUUUGAAAAGAGAGUUAAAACAGUACGUGAAAAUUGUCAAAAGGGAGGCGUUUUGACACCAGUGUUUGUUUUUUCCGAAAAAUCAAUUACGAAUGUUUUUGUUUUUUGAGAAGUUAUGACUUCAUCGGCUUGCUUCUCUCUUUACGAAAACUUUCUUAAUGCACUUUUUCGGUUAACAAGUCAACAUCAAUUUCUUUUGUUGUAAAAGAGGUAUUGAGGAAGGUGGCUUUCUUUUCGGAGAAAGUGUUUUAUAGCCCUUGUACUUCUGCAAUCGGAGAGAUUGAGGUCUGCAGCGUAGAUCCUUCGGGGUUAGAUACAUUUUGUGCUAAGUUAUAGCUUUUUCAUAGACAAACUUGUUGACUAUGUUUAGUCUUGUAGCUUACUCGCUUAUGCUAUUUUUACCUACGCUUAGGAUGUUGAUCUGUAGUGCGUGCGC
rnacentral:rRNA from 1 species